UAUUGAACCCACACCUCUCUCUCUUCUCCCUCGGUUCCUCUUCUCCCGUUCUCAUUCUGCUCUCAGUCAAACUCUCUCACUUCUCUCUCAUUUAUUUCUCUCUCUGUCCCUCAACCUUCUCUUCUCUCUCUUGGCUCGCUUCUCCCCGAGCAACACAGCCACCAUGUUUUCCGGCGACUUCGAACACCAAAUCACCACCAUCCUCGUCCCAACCUCACACCAAACACGGAACUAGAACCCAGAGUCCCAGAACUUAGACUUGAACCUCAAAUCGGAGAACCAGAGCUCCGUCUCGAAUCCGAGAGAGUUCCGGCGAGUUCAUCGCUUUCCCUACCUAGGUAAGGUUUCCCCAGAUUUUCCGGACGAGAUUGACACCACAAACGAACUCCCCAUAAUCCCAGGGACCAGAUUCGAGCUUUACAUGCUCGAAUCUAUCGGGGAUUCGUAGAGACGUAAACUGGGCUUUCAGGCCAAUUUCCGGCCACCUCUAGCCAUCCCUUGGCCUCGAUUUUGGAAGAGGCCCAGAUUCUAUAUAGAUCGGCUGAUUAAUUUAUUUGUGGAACAAGAAGAUGGGAUGAAGUAAAAAGCUUUCUGGGAAAGAUUCUAGUGUUCAGAAAUGCUUGUCUGUAAAUUUGAAUUUGUAUGAAUUGAUUGUUUGUAGAACUUAAUUGUAAAAGCUUGUUUGUAGUAUUUUAAUUAGGUUUUUUCUAAUAUUUUACCUAUUGGGCACAAGAACAAAACUGUGCUAACAUGGCUUGGAAAAGUCGGUGUUGUCAGAACUGUCAGAACUGAGACACAAAAGAACCCCUACUUGUGCUCAGCCUUUGGGCACAAAACAUAGUUGCUGCACUGUAACUAUUGGUCUAUGGGCACAAUUGUUAGUGUUUUUUGGCCUCAAAAAGCAUAGAUAAUUUAUUGUGUGCAGUGCUCAUAUUUUUUGUAGUGUAUGCAUAUACAAAUAUAUGGAGAAAUUCACACACAAAAAAGAAUAGUUGAUGA